rnacentral:rRNA from 1 species
GAUGAACGCUAGCUACAGGCUUAACACAUGCAAGUCGCGGGGCAGCAUGGGGGUUGCUUGCAAUCCCCGAUGGCGACCGGCGCACGGGUGAGUAACGCGUAUCCAACCUGCCCUUCACCACGGGAUAACCCGGCGAAAGUCGGACUAAUACCGUAUGUUGUCCAUUGACGGCAUCCGAUUUGGACGAAAGGUUUGGCGGUGAAGAAUGGGGAUGCGUCCGAUUAGCUGGACGGCGGGGUGACGGCCCACCGUGGCGACGAUCGGUAGGGGUUCUGAGAGGAAGGUCCCCCACACUGGAACUGAGACACGGUCCAGACUCCUACGGGAGGCAGCAGUGAGGAAUAUUGAUCAAUGGGCGUAAGCCUGAACCAGCCAAGUAGCGUGCAGGAUGACGGCCCUAUGGGUUGUAAACUGCUUUUAUGCGGGGAUAAAGUGGCCCACGUGUGGGUUUUUGCAGGUACCGCAUGAAUAAGGACCGGCUAAUUCCGUG